rnacentral:rRNA from 1 species
GACCGAUGCUUUUCUUGACUCUUCAAAGGUCUUGGAAUAAGGGGUGGGUAAGGACGGUGCCAGCCGCCGCGGUAAUACCGGCGCCUCAAGUGGUAGUCGCUUUUAUUGGGCCUAAAACGUCCGUAGCCGGUUUGGUACAUUCGUGGGUAAAUCAAGGCGCUCAACGUCUUGAAUUCUGCGAGCACGGCCAGACUUGGGACCGGGUGAGGUGUGGGGUACUCUCAGGGUAGGGGUAAAAUCCUGUCAUCCUGAGAGGACCACCUGUUGCGAAGGCGCCACACUAGAACGGAUCCGACGGUCAGGGACGAAGCCUAGGGGCACGAACCGGAUUAGAUACCCGGGUAGUCCUAGGUGUAAACGCUGUGGACUUGAUGUUGGGAGUGCUCCGAGCACCCUCAGUGUCGAAGCGAAGGUGAUAAGUCCACUGCCUGGGGAGUACGGUCGCAAGGCUGAAACUUAAAGGAAUUGG